rnacentral:rRNA from 1 species
GACGUAGGGUCCGAGCGUUGUCCGGAGUUAUUGGGCGUAAAGAGCGUGUAGGCGGCCAGGUAGGUCGGUUGUGAAAACUAGAGGCUCAACCUCUAGACGUCGACCGAAACCAUCUGGCUAGAGUCCGGAAGAGGAGAGUGGAAUUCCUGGUGUAGCGGUGAAAUGCGCAGAUAUCAGGAAGAACACCGGUGGCGAAGGCGGUUCUCUGGGCCUGUACUGACGCUGAGGAACGAAAGCGUGGGGAGCGAACAGG